CAACUAUAAAAUACACCAUUGGAGGGCAAGUCUGGUGCCAGCAGCCGCGGUAAUUCCAGCUCCAAUAGCGUAUAUUAAAGUUGUUGCAGUUAAAAAGCUCGUAGUUGAACUUUGGGCCUGGGCGGACGGUCUACCUAUGGUAAGCACUGUUGCGGCCGGGUCUUUCCUUCUGGCUAGCCCUCGGGCGAACCAGGACGAUUACUUUGAGGAAAUUAGAGUGUUCAAAGCAGGCCUUUGCUCGGAUAUAUUAGCAUGGAAUAAUAGAAUAGGACGCAUGGUUCUAUUUUGUUGGUUUCUAGGACCAUCGUAAUGAUUAAUAGGGACGGUCGGGGGCAUCAGUAUUCAGUCGUCAGAGGUGAAAUUCUUGGAUUGACUGAAGACUAACUACUGCGAAAGCAUUUGCCAAGGACGUUUUCAUUAAUCAAGAACGAAAGUUAGGGGAUCGAAGAUGAUCUAGAUACCGUCCGAAGAUAAUUUG
rnacentral:rRNA from 1 species